GACGAACCGUGCGAACGUUGUUCGGAAUCACUGGGCGUAAAGGGCGCGUAGGCGGCUUUAUAAGUCGGGGGUGAAAGCCUGUGGCUCAACCACAGAAUUGCCUUCGAUACUGUAGAGCUUGAGACCGGAAGAGGUAAGUGGAACUGCGAGUGUAGAGGUGAAAUUCGUAGAUAUUGGGAGGAACACCGGUGGCGAAGGCGGCGACCUGGGUUGACACUGACGCUGAGGCGCGAAAGCGUGGGGAGCAAACAGG
rnacentral:rRNA from 1 species